AUUGAACGCUGGCGGCAGGCCUAACACAUGCCAGUCGAGCGGAUGAAGGGAGCUUGCUCCUGGAUUCAGCGGCGGACGGGUGAGUAAUGCCUAGGAAUCUGCCUGGUAGUGGGGGAUAACGUCCGGAAACGGGCGCUAAUACCGCAUACGUCCUGAGGGAGAAAGUGGGGGAUCUUCGGACCUCACGCUAUCAGAUGAGCCUAGGUCGGAUUAGCUAGUUGGUGGGGUAAAGGCCUACCAAGGCGACGAUCCGUAACUGGUCUGAGAGGAUGAUCAGUCACACUGGAGCUGAGACACGGUCCAGACUCCUACGGGAGGCAGCAGUGGGGAAUAUUGGACAAUGGGCGAAAGCCUGAUCCAGCCAUGCCGCGUGUGUGAAGAAGGUCUUCGGAUUGUAAAGCACUUUAAGUUGGGAGGAAGGGCAGUAAGUUAAUACCUUGCCGUUUUGACGUUACCAACAGAAUAAGCACCGGCUAACUUCGUG
rnacentral:rRNA from 1 species